CUAAGUUCGAGUUCGAGCUAGAGUUCGAGGUACAUGUCAGCCUUCCUGUUUUGCCAAGUCGCUGAUGCCCCAAUCGUGAAACAAGAUCAAUGGAUCUUUCUCCAACGCCCUCCCAGGUCCUGAUUCCCAUCACAAAAUCGAGCUUUACCACCCCAAAGGCGGCUAGGGUUUGGAAGGAGUCCAUCCUCGAUCCAUAGCUUGUACAUUCCUCUUCUCUUUCCCUAUUAUCUUUGGCUUCUCUCGUUACUCAUCUCAGCCACACAAUGUCCCAAGAUAAUGUUCAGGCAUCCAAGUAGGUUUAUCAGAUUAUCGUGCUGGGAGACACCUAAUUAAUCAUUUUGAUCCAAGUCUAAAAGUUUUGAUCUUUUGAUCCAAGUCUGAAAGUUCAACACCUGAUGACCUUCUUCAUAGAAAUUAGUCAUACUAUGACAGCCUAAAAAUUGAUAAGAGAAAUUAAUAGUUCUACCUGGUGAUAGAGAUGAGUGGGAUGGAAAUGUACUGGUCAUCAUUCUUUGCAGGUCUAUCGUGAAAAGAAUAAGGCUAUCAAAUUUCAGAGGCAGAGCAUACAAAGAGUACUCUCUUCACACUGGAUUAAUGGACUUAGCCGCUAUAAAGAGGUUAUUGCUUUCUAAAAGACCAAGUGAUGACUACAUUGCUGGGGUACAGGGUUUUCUUCAGUUUGCAUACAGAGGGAAAAAAAUUAGGUGCAAAGAUUAGAUGUCCUUGUGUCAAGUGUGUCAACAUGUUGUUAAAAAAGCAACCUGUAGUGUAUGAUCACUUAGUAUGCCAUGGAAUGCUGCGUGGAUACACCAUAUGGGGUUGCCACGGGAAAACAGCAUCAUAUAUAUAUAUAUAUAUAUAUAUAUAUAUAUCAGCUAAUAAAGAUUCAGAAUCCCAGUGUAGUUCAAGAGUUUAAACCAUAACAUGCAUCAGGUAGUUCAAGAAGCUUUCAGAUAUGAUGAUAAUGGAAUUCUGUUAUCGCCAUAAUCUGGACGGGCCGGAAGUGGGCCAUGGAGCAAGAUGGGCUUGGAGGAUAACUAUAAUGGGCUUGCGAAUUGGACCUGGUGCGGAUGUUUUGGGGCCAGAGAGGCCGUGUAAAUAUAGAUAUAGGUAGUUAAGAUUCGUGUCGUGAUUGGUUAGGGUUGGUUAAGAAAGAUAAGUCUACGGACUAUAAAUAUGU